rnacentral:rRNA from 1 species
GAUGAACGCUGGCGGCGUGCCUAACACAUGCAAGUCGAGCGAUUCUCUUCGGAGAAGAGCGGCGGACGGGUGAGUAACGCGUGGGUAACCUGCCCUGUACACACGGAUAACAUACCGAAAGGUAUGCUAAUACGAGAUGAUAUAUAAAAGUUGCAUGACUUUUAUAUCAAAGCUUUUGCGGUACAGGAUGGACCCGCGUCUGAUUAGCUAGUUGGUAAGGUAACGGCUUACCAAGGCGACGAUCAGUAGCCGACCUGAGAGGGUGAUCGGCCACACUGGAACUGAGACACGGUCCAGACUCCUACGGGAGGCAGCAGUGGGGAAUAUUGCACAAUGGGCGAAAGCCUGAUGCAGCAACGCCGCGUGAGCGAUGAAGGCCUUCGGGUCGUAAAGCUCUGUCCUCAAGGAAGAUAAUGACGGUACUGAGAGAAGCC